CCUUGAUGGCGACCGGCGCACGGGUGAGUAACGCGUAUGCAACCUGCCCGAUACCGGGGUAUAGCCCAUGGAAACGUGGAUUAACACCCCAUAGUACUUUUAUCCUGCCUGGGAUGGGAGUUAAAUGUUCAAGGUAUCGGAUGGGCAUGUGUCCUAUUAGUUAGUUGGCGGGGUAACAGCCCACCAAGACGAUGAUAGGUAGGGGUUCUGAGAGGAAGGUCCCCCACAUUGGAACUGAGACACGGUCCAA
rnacentral:rRNA from 1 species